AAUAAUAAUAAUAAAAACUCAUGAAACUAAUAUUCGGUUGAAAUCUAAAAUUAUUUUCUAUUAUUGUAAUCAGAAAGGAAAAGAUUUAGAGACUACCCUUCGGCAUUAUAUUUACACAGAACUAAGGAUGUGAAUUUAGCAUCGUUUAUGGAAACUAAGGUUAAAGAUGAUGAUGUCUAAAAGUUGAAGUUGUAAGGUUCCUUCUACGAUAAUUUUGCUUAAGUCUAUAGGGAAGAAUACAAAAUUUAAACUACCCUCUCUUCCCCAGGUCCGAGAAACUUGUUCCAGUGGAGCACUGGUCAAUAUUUUCCCACUGACAAGCAACCUCUAUAAAGAAAAGAAAAGAUCACGAGUAAAAGCAAAACGCUGUUAUAGAACAACUUGGCAAAACUGAAUCGUCUACCAAAGGUAAAUGGAUAAAUAUUCACAUAAAUCACAGCUGCAUUUAGGCAAAGAUGCUGCACUUUUCACAAUGCUGAACACUGGGAAGAAAGGUUCAAAGAGACUGAGGUCAGCAUAGCAGGUUCAUAGAUAUUAAACAAACAAACUGACUGAGUGAUCCAUUUUAAGAUUGUUUCAAGGUAAGGCAAAAGUCUUUUUCAAACUCCUUUCACUUUUGCAGUCAUAUAUAAUUCUACAAAAUGAAGAUAAGCUAUCUUCCCAUACUUUUCCUCUAAUCAAUCUGUGUUGUUAAUAGCUCACCAGUGAGAUGAUAUGUCUGCGUCAUCAAGCCUUUUGAUGGACAGCAUUUUAUCAGUAAGUUGCAGAAGCUUUAUAGUAACAAAUUCCAAACUUUCUCUUUCAUAGGACAAAAUAUAUAUUUAUACAGUUACUGUCAGAGCUAUGCAUCAAAAAUUUAAAGCGGUAUAUACAUUUCC
rnacentral:lncRNA from 1 species